GUUUUAAUAAUUUAAUUAAAAAAUAUUGAUUUUGUAAAUCAAAAAUAAGACAUACUUUUAAGACU
rnacentral:tRNA from 1 species